CAAAUUAAAGUUUAUUAUUAAAUAUUUCAUUUACAUUGAAAAGAAAUUGAAAUUAUCAUUUAAUUUGA
rnacentral:tRNA from 1 species